GGCAGGCCUAACACAUGCAAGCCGAGGGGUAAGUCUCUUUCGGGAGAACACGACCGGCGCACGGGUGAGUAACGCGUAUGCAACCUACCUUUGGCACGGGGACAGCCCGGGGAAACCCGGAUUAAUACCCGGUAUAGUCUGUUAUACACCUGUAUAAAAGACGAGAGCUACGGCGGCCAAAGAUGGGCAUGCGUGCCAUUAGUUAGUUGGUAGGGUAACGGCCUACCAAGGCAUCGAUGGCUACGGGGUCUAAAAGGAUGAGCCCGCACACUGGUACUGAGACACGGACCAGACUCCUACGGGAGGCAGCAGUGAGGAAUAUUGGUCAAUGGGUGGAAGCCUGAACCAGCCAUGCCGCGUGCAGGAAGACGGCCUUAUGGGUUGUAAACUGCUUUUCUACGGGACGAGCGGAUCUGACGUGUCGGAGAUUGACGGUACCGUAGGAGUGAGCAUCGGCUAGCUCCGUGCCAGCAGCCGCGGUACUACGGAGGAUGCGAGCGUGGUCCGGAUCGAUGAGGUUGACAGGGUGCGUACGC
rnacentral:rRNA from 1 species